UACGGGGGGAGCAAGCGUUGUUCGGAUUUACUGGGCGUAAGGGCGCGUAGGCGGCCACCGCAAGUCGACUGUGAAAUCUCCGGGCUUAACCCGGAAAGGUCAGCCGAUACUGCGGGGCUAGAGUGCAGAAGGGGCAACUGGAAUUCUCGGUGUAGCGGUGAAAUGCGUAGAUAUCGAGAGGAACACCUGCGGCGAAGGCGGGUUGCUGGGCUGACACUGACGCUGAGGCGCGAAAGCUAGGGGAGCGAACGGG
rnacentral:rRNA from 1 species